rnacentral:rRNA from 1 species
GUAAGACUGGGAUAACUCCGGGAAACCGGGGCUAAUACCGGAUAACUCUUUUCCUCACAUGAGGAAAAGCUGAAAGAUGGUUUCGGCUAUCACUUACAGAUGGGCCCGCGGCGCAUUAGCUAGUUGGUGAGGUAACGGCUCACCAAGGCCACGAUGCGUAGCCGACCUGAGAGGGUGAUCGGCCACACUGGGACUGAGACACGGCCCAGACUCCUACGGGAGGCAGCAGUAGGGAAUCUUCCGCAGUGGACGAAAGUCUGACGGAGCAACGCCGCGUGAGUGAUGAAGGUUUUCGGAUCGUAAAACUCUGUUGUCAGGAAAUAACAAGUACCGGACUAACUGCGGGUACCUUGACGGUACCUGACCACAACGUCUCGCCUAGCUACGUGCCAGCAGCCGCGACAAGACAUAGGUGUCCAGCGUUGUCCGAAUUUAUUGGGCGGAUCGCGCGCGCGGGCGGUUCCUUAUCUCUGAUGUGAAGUCCCCCGGCUCAACCGGAGAUCGUCAGUGGAAACUGUUAAAGUUGUGUGUGCAACACUAGAGUGCAAAUCCACGUGUAGCCGUAAAAUGCAUCGAUAUCUGGAGGAACUACCGUGGCAACUAGACUGUUUGCUCCCACUUAUCUGACUCACCGUCAGUGCAGACCAAAGAG